rnacentral:rRNA from 1 species
AAUGAACGCUGGCGGCGUGCCUAAUACAUGCAAGUCGAGCGAACAGACGAGGAGCUUGCUCCUCUGACGUUAGCGGCGGACGGGUGAGUAACACGUGGAUAACCUACCUAUAAGACUGGGAUAACUUCGGGAAACCGGAGCUAAUACCGGAUAAUAUAUUGAACUGCAUGGUUCAAUAGUGAAAGACGGUUUUGCUGUCACUUAUAGAUUGAUCCGCGCCGCAUUAGCUAGUUGGUAAGGUAACGGCUUACCAAGGCAACGAUGCGUAGCCGACCUGAGAGGGUGAUCGGCCACACUGGAACUGAGACACGGCCCAGACUCCUACGGGAGGCAGCAGUAGGGAAUCUUCCGCAAUGGGCGAAAGCCUGACGGAGCAACGCCGCGUGAGUGAUGAAGGUCUUCGGAUCGUAAAACUCUGUUAUUAGGGAAGAACAAAUGUGUAAGUAACUAUGCACGUCUUGACGGUACCUAAAGAGAAAGCCACGGCUAACUACGUG